UGGUAACAAUCCACGGCCUGAAAGAAGGAACGCUUUGGAAGAUGCUAGGUAUUCACCCACGAGCUCUGUCUUAUCAGGCUCCAUUUGCUUAACAGGGAAGUAUCCAAACAUUUAAGUAUGCAAAUGCGUACAGCCAAAUGAGACAUCAUUUAAUUCUUUUAUUGUCUUACAGUGAAAGAGAGCAAAUGAGCAAGUGGAUGGUUUCCUGCCAAUUACUUUCAGUUCGUUGUCUUUUAUGCUAAGAGACUCUGCAAACACUGCUCUGCAUCCAGCAGACGCCUGGUCACACUGAGGCAUCGAGCACGGACCCCUCCCUUCAGCAAACCCCAGUGCUCUGUAAGGAAACGAUCUGGGGACAUCCCUUCAAAUUCAGAGAGCUGCUGUUCUUGAGCUCCACAGAGACCAGAAAUCCCUUUCUGUAGAUGAAGUUGACUCUGUGCUGCCAGACCCUUCACUGCUCACCCCAUUCCAGUGGUACCAUUACCAUCACUUGUUUGGUGCUGUUUCUGCUGAAUUAUUUGGAGCCCACCUUCCUGCUUUAGCUUUGAAUUCUCACCAGAGAGAACCAUGCCAGGGCCGAUUUGGAUAACGGGAUCAUUAGCAACCAAACAGAUGAUGCCUCUCUCUCUCUCUCUAACAGAGACUCGCUCAGCUGCAGAGAGCCCUUCAAUUCCAGCAGAGAGGGCAGACUGUCAUCUGAGCUCGGCCCAUCCUGCUGUCUGCACUC
rnacentral:lncRNA from 1 species